rnacentral:rRNA from 1 species
GCGGCGGACGGGUGAGUAACGCGUGGGAACGUGCCCUUUGCUACGGAAUAGUCCCGGGAAACUGGGUUUAAUACCGUAUGUGCCCUUCGGGGGAAAGAUUUAUCGGCAAAGGAUCGGCCCGCGUUGGAUUAGGUAGUUGGUGGGGUAAUGGCCUACCAAGCCGACGAUCCAUAGCUGGUUUGAGAGGAUGAUCAGCCACACUGGGACUGAGACACGGCCCAGACUCCUACGGGAGGCAGCAGUGGGGAAUCUUAGACAAUGGGGGCA